UGGGCUGAGUUUUAAAAGAUUAGUGGGA
rnacentral:piRNA from 1 species